rnacentral:rRNA from 1 species
CCUAGGGUGGCAGCAGUGGGGAAUAUUGGACAAUGGGCGAAAGCCUGAUCCACCCAUGCCGCGUGUGUGAAGAAGGCCUUCGGGUUGUAAAGCACUUUCAGUGGGGAAGAAAGCCUUGGGGCUAAUACCCUCGAGGAAGGACAUCACCCACAGAAGAAGCACCGGCUAACUCCGUGCCAGCAGCCGCGGUAAUACGGAGGGUGCGAGCGUUAAUCGGAAUUACUGGGCGUAAAGCGCGCGUAGGCGGUCUGAUAAGCCGGUUGUGAAAGCCCCGGGCUCAACCUGGGAACGGCAUCCGGAACUGUCAGGCUAGAGUGCAGGAGAGGAAGGUAGAAUUCCCGGUGUAGCGGUGAAAUGCGUAGAGAUCGGGAGGAAUACCAGUGGCGAAGGCGGCCUUCUGGACUGACACUGACGCUGAGGUGCGAAAGCGUGGGUAGCAAACAGGAUUAGAUACCCGGGUAGUC